GAUGAACGCUGGCGGCGUGCCUAAUACAUGCAAGUCGAGCGAACAGAUGCGGCGCUUGCUCCUCUGACGUUAGCGGCGGACGGGUGAGUAACACGUGGAUACCCUCCCUAUAAGACUGGGAUAACUUCGGGAAACCGGAGCUAAUACCGGAUAAUAUAUUGAACCGCAUGGUUCAAUAGUGAAAGACGGUUUUGCUGUCUCUUCUAGAUGGUUCCGAGCCGCAUUAGCUAGUUGGUAAGGUCACGGGUUAUCAAGGCAACGAUGCGUAGCCGACCUGAGAGGCGGGUCGGCCGCCUGGGAAGUGAGACGGCGUCCAGACUCCUAAGGGACGCAGCAGUAGGGAAUCUGCCGCAAUGGUCGAAAGCCUGGCGGAGCAGCGCCACGUGAGUGGUGAAGGUCUUCGGAUCGUAAUACCCUGUUAUUAGGGAAGAACAAAUGUGUAAGUAGCUAAGCACGUAGUGACGGUACCUGAUCAGAAAGCCACGGCUAACUACGUG
rnacentral:rRNA from 1 species